UGAGUAACCUGCCCUUAACUCUGGGAUAAGCCUGGGAAACUGGGUCUAAUACCGGAUAUGACUCCUCAUCGCAUGGUGGGGGGUGGAAAGCUUUUUUGUGGUUUUGGAUGGACUCGCGGCCUAUCAGCUAGUUGGUGUGGGUAACGGCCCACCAAGGCGACGACGGGUAGCCGGCCUGAGAGGGUGACCGGCCACACUGGGACUGAGACACGGCCCAGACUCCUACGGGAGGCAG
rnacentral:rRNA from 1 species